CUACGGGAAGCUGCAGUGGGGAAUCUUAGACAAUGGGCGCAAGCCUGAUCUAGCCAUGCCGCGUGAGUGACGAAGGCCUUAGGGUCGUAAAGCUCUUUCGCUGGGGAAGAUAAUGACGGUACCCAGUAAAGAGACCCCGGCUAACUCCGUGCCAGCAGCCGCGGUAAUACGGAGGGGGUUAGCGUUGUUCGGAAUUACUGGGCGUAAAGCGCGCGUAGGCGGAUCAGAAAGUUGGGGGUGAAAUCCCGGGGCUCAACCCCGGAACUGCCUUCAAAACUCCUGGUCUUGAGUUCGAGAGAGGUGAGUGGAAUUCCGAGUGUAGAGGUGAAAUUCGUAGAUAUUCGGAGGAACACCAGUGGCGAAGGCGGCUCACUGGCUCGAUACCGACGCUGAGGUGCGAAAGCGUGGGGAGCAAACAGGAUUAGAUACCCCUGUAGUC
rnacentral:rRNA from 1 species